ACGCGCCCGCAAGGGGGAGUGGCAGACGGCGUGAGUAACAGCUGUGGCCACAUACCCUUUCCGUGCGGAAUAGCUCCGGGAAACUGGAAUUAAUACCGCAUACGCCCUACGGGGGAAAGAUUUAUCGGGGAAGGAUUGGCCCGCGUUGGAUUAGCUAGUUGGUGGGGUAAAGGCCUACCAAGGCGACGAUCCAUAGCUGGUCUGAGAGGAUGAUCAGCCACAUUGGGACUGAGACACGGCCCAAACUCCUACGGGAGGCAGCAGUGGGGAAUAUUGGACAAUGGGCGCAAGCCUGAUCCAGCCAUGCCGCGUGAGUGAUGAAGGCCUUAGGGUUGUAAAGCUCUUUCACCGGAGAAGAUAAUGACGGUAUCCGGAGAAGAAGCCCCGGCUAACUUCGUGCCAGCAGCCGCGGUAAUACGAAGGGGGCUAGCGUUGUUCGGAAUUACUGGGCGUAAAGCGCACGUAGGCGGAUAUUUAAGUCAGGGGUGAAAUCCCAGAGCUCAACUCUGGAACUGCCUUUGAUACUGGGUAUCUUGAGUAUGGAAGAGGUA
rnacentral:rRNA from 1 species